GUGCCAGCUAAAUGCUCGGGAUAUAUUUUUAUAUUGGCCUCAGCUCAGCCUCCAAUUCUGCUGGAAUCUACUUGGCACCCACAAUUCACUCCAGUGCAUUAACCCCGGGUGCAAAUGAUAGGAUUCAGCCUUCCAAGCUUGUGGGUGCAGUCAGAUAGCUGGAUAACUUAAUGAUAUCAUUUGCACUCACAAGCUAACUGCAGGCACAAAAUAAAGCAAGAGUGACUGGAAAAAGAGAGAGAAAGAGUCUAGAAAACACAGAGCCACACAUCGCUUCUUCCCCUGUGGUGGCCAUUUGCAGGAAAAAAAAAAAAAAAAAAGGAGAAGAAGAAGAAGGGUUGUCUUCUGCCAAAAAC
ensembl:lncRNA